rnacentral:rRNA from 1 species
GACGAACGCUGGCGGCGUGCUUAACACAUGCAAGUCGAACGGAAAGGCCCUGCUUUUGUGGGGUGCUCGAGUGGCAAACGGGUGAGUAACACGUGAGUAACCUGCCCUUGACUUUGGGAUAACUUCAGGAAGCUGGGGCUAAUACCGGAUAGGAGCUCCUGCUGCAUGGUGGGGGUUGGAAAGUUUCGGCGGUUGGGGAUGGACUCGCGGCUUAUCAGCUUGUUGGUGGGGUAGUGGCUUACCAAGGCUUUGACGGGUAGCCGGCCUGAGAGGGUGACCGGCCACAUUGGGACUGAGAUACGGCCCAGACUCCUACGGGAGGCAGCAGUGGGGAAUAUUGCACAAUGGGCGGAAGCCUGAUGCAGCAACGCCGCGUGCGGGAUGACGGCCUUCGGGUUGUAAACCGCUUUCGCCUGUGACGAAGCGUGAGUGACGGUAAUGGGUAAAGAAGCACCGGCUAACUACGUG